rnacentral:rRNA from 1 species
GACGAACGCUGGCGGCAUGCCUAAUACAUGCAAGUCGAGCGAACAGAUGAAGUGCUUGCGCUUCUGACGUUAGCGGCGAACGGGUGAGUAGCACGUAAGGAAUCUACCUAUAAGCGGGGGAUAACAUUCGGAAACGGGUGCUAACACCGCAUAAUAUCUUCUUCCGCAUGGAAGAAGAUUGAAAGACGGCUCUGCUGUCACUUAUAGAUGACCUUGCGGUGCAUUAGUUAGUUGGUGGGGUAAUGGCCUACCAAGACGAUGAUGCAUAGCCGACCUGAGAGGGUGAUCGGCCACAUUGGGACUGAGACACGGCCCAAACUCCUACGGGAGGCAGCAGUAGGGAAUCUUCCGCAAUGGGCGAAAGCCUGACGGAGCAAUGCCGCGUGAGUGAAGAAGGCCUUCGGGUCGUAAAACUCUGUUAUAAGAGAAGAACAAAUUGUAGAGUAACUGCUACAGUCUUGACGGUAUCUUAUCAGAAAGCCACGGCUAACUACGUGCCAGCAGCCGCGGUAA